AUCCAUCUGAGGAGUUCCAAAUAGGACGAAACGCGCUUCCAGGAU
rfam:Schistosoma mansoni strain Puerto Rico chromosome 2, complete genome